GAUGAACGCUAGCUACAGGCUUAACACAUGCAAGUCGAGGGGCAGCACAGUGUAGCAAUACAUGGGUGGCGACCGGCGCACGGGUGCGUAACGCGUAUCCAACUUUCCCGUUACUCAGGGAUAGCCUUCCGAAACGCCGACUAAUACCCCAUGGCAUCGUCUGGAGGCAUCUCCAUUCGAUUAAAGAGUUUCGGAAACGGAUAGGCUCGCGUGACAUUAGCUAGACGGCGGGGUAACGGCCCACCGUGGCGACGAUGUCUAGGGGUUCUGAGAGGAAGGUCCCCCACACUGGAACUGAGACACGGUCCAGACUCCUACGGGAGGCAGCAGUGAGGAAUAUUGGUCAAUGGUCGGAAGACUGAACCAGCCAAGUAGCGUGAAGGAUGAAGGUUCUAUGGAUUGUAAACUUCUUUUAUACGGGAAUAAAACCUCCCACGUGUGGGAGCUUGUAUGUACCGUAUGAAUAAGCAUCGGCUAACUCCGUG
rnacentral:rRNA from 1 species